AGUGAACGCUGGCGGUAGGCCUAGCACAUGCAAGUCGAACGGCAGCACAGUAAGAGCUUGCUCUUACGGGUGGCGAGUGGCGGACGGGUGAGGAAUACAUCGGAAUCUACUUUUUCGUGGGGGAUAACGUAGGGAAACUUACGCUAAUGCCGCAUACGACCUACGGGUGAAAGCAGGGGAUCUUCGGACCUUGCGCGAUUGAAUGAGCCGAUGUCGGAUUAGCUAGUUGGCGGGGUAAAGGCCCACCAAGGCGACGAUCCGUAGCUGGUCUGAGAGGAUGAUCAGCCACACUGGAACUGAGACACGGUCCAGACUCCUACGGGAGGCAGCAGUGGGGAAUAUUGGACAAUGGGCGCAAGCCUGAUCCAGCCAUACCGCGUGGGUGAAGAAGGCCUUCGGGUUGUAAAGCCCUUUUGUUGGGAAAGAAAAGCAGCAGGUUAAUACCCCGCUGUUCUGACGGUACCCAAAGAAUAAGCACCGGCUAACUUCGUG
rnacentral:rRNA from 1 species